ensembl:lncRNA
UAUAAUUAUAUGCAAAUAUAUAAUAUAUAUUUAUAUAUUAUAUAUUUAUGUUAUAUAUAAAUAUAUAAUAAUGAGAAUUGACUGUAUGAGAAAAUACAUUACUAUUUCUACAGGUAUAUUAUUAUAAAUUACCUUUAACAUACUAACAUACAGCAACCCAAAGCGUGUUUCAAGUCCACUGGUGUGGAUUAGCCCACUGGGAUGCUGCCUUGGUGAUGGAAUAUUCUGAUCAGUGACAUUCCAACUUUGUUCUAGUCAUAGAAGCCUGGUUAAGAGAGAUUCUGGAGUCAGAGAGAUCAUUUACUUACCAGCCAGGUGACCUUGGAUAAAUAUAAAUUACUUAAUCCUCUUUUUUUUUUCUAUUUAAUUUGGAGACAGGGUCUUGCUGUGUCACCUAGGCUGGAGUGCAGUGGUGCAAUCACAGUUUCAUUAUGUCGGCCAGGCUGCUCUUGAACUCCUGGGAUCAAGCGAUUUCUCUGCCUUGGCCUUCCAAAAUGCUGGGAUUACAGGUGUGCAUCACCAGGCCCAGCCAUUCGACCCUCAUAAUAUUGGUUUCAUCAUCUGUAAAAUGGGGCUAAAGAUAUUGCUUUCACCAAGCUGUGUGUUUAUAUGUGUGCACAUACUCUGCUUGGUGCUGUUGUGGAUACUGGGGACAAACGGGUCCUUGCCCCCAUGAAGAAGAGUUCUAAUCUAAGGAUUCAUUGUAAGUACUCAGUAAGUGGUAGCUACUUUAUUGGUUUUAUUAAAACUUUAUAUUUUACAUGGGGAAUUUGUUGUCAUUGUUUAUUUUUGUUUUAUUUUGGUUUUCGAGAUGGAGUUUCACUCUUGGCACCCAGGCUGAAAUGCAGUGGCACGAUCUUGGCUUACUGUAAGCUCCACCUCCCGGGUUCAAGUGAUUCUCCUGUCUCAGCCUCCUGAGUAGCUGAGAUUACAGGCAUGCGCCACCACAUCCGGCUAAUUUUCUAUUUUUAGUAGAAAUGGGGUUUCACCAAGUUAGCCAGACUGGAACUCCUGACUUCAGGCAAUCUGCCUACCUUGGCCUCCCUGGCCUGUUUUGUUUUUCAAGACAGGAUCUCACUCCAUCGGACAGGCUAGAGUUCUGUGGUGUGAUUGAGGCUUACUGCAACCUCAACCUCCUGAACUCAGGUGAUCCUCUCACCUCUGCCUCCUGAGUAGCUGGGACUAUAAGCGUGGACCACCACAACUGGCUAAUUUUUAAAUUUCUCAUAGAGACGGGAUUUUGCCAUGUCGCCCAGGCUACAUGGAAAGUUAUUUUAUUCAUAUGUUUCUUUUGUAAGAAGAGGAGGUCUCCAGUGUUUGUUUUUGUUUGUUUGUUUUUAAUCUUCAGGUCACUCUAGAAUGUUUCCAAUGUGGAGGAAAGGGGCAGGGCAAAACUAACUGACUAACUCACUACAUGGCAGAACAGCUCAAGAAACAAGCUGACUCAAGAAAUUACAGAUCAUUUAUAGAGCCAUUGCUGCCUUCAAAGGUGGGCAGUGCAUUUUUUAAAACACAUUUAUUUAUUUAUUUAUUUUGGUGGCAAGGUCUUGCUCUGUUGCCCAGGCUAGAGUGCAGUGGCAUGAUCUUGUCUCAUUGCAACUUCCAUCUACAGGGUUCAAGCCAUCCUCCCACCUCAGCCUCCCAAGUAGCUGGAAGAAUAGGUUUGUGUCACCAGGCCCCGUGAAUUUUUGUAUUUUUUGUAAAGACAGGGUCUCACUAUAUUACCCAGGCUUGUCUCGAACUCCUGAGCUCAAGCCAUCCUCCUGCUCAGUCUUCCAAAGUGCUAGGAUUACAGGCCUGAGCCACGGCUCCCAGUCAACACAUUUAUUUACUUUUAGGAAAUACAGUAUAGUUCACAUAGUUAAUGUAUAACUGCUUUCACUACAUCUUGAGAGAUUCAGGAAAGUUCUUGCUAAUAAUAAGGCCUAGCAUGGAACUAGGAUGUACUUUGCAUUUGUAUAACCCAGGUGGAAGAGCACACAUAGGCUAAAGAAACAAACAAAAAAACCCGAUAAAAGAACAACAGGGCCCAGCCAGGGUGAAGGUACCUUAAGGCAACAAGCUUCCGAGAAGCAGGGAAGGAAAAAACCUCAGAAAUAAGUGUUAGAGGUCUGUUGCAGUGGCUCACUAAUUCCAGCACUUCGGGAGGGUGAGGCAGACAGAUCACUCGAGGUCAGGAGUUCAAGACCAGCCUGGCCAACAUGGUGAAACCCCAUCUAUACAAAAAACACAAAAAUUUGCUGGGCAUGGUUGCAUGCACCUGUAAUCCCAGCUAUUUGGGAGGUGGAAGUGGGAGGUUGAAUCUGUUUAGUAAAUUGGGGGCUUAGAAUAUUUCAUUUUUGGUUUACAAGGGCUUGAGUUCUCCUUGUGGCCUGUCUCCAUAUGGAAUUUCCUCUAAUUACAGUUUUCAGGAGCUAUUUGAUCUCUCAACUCUAAGCAUACAGACCCCUUAAGACUCCUCUGUAGAGAAAGGUUGGGUUACCCACAAAGGGAAGCCCAUCAGACUAACAGCAGAUCUCUCGGCAGGAACUCUACAAGCCAGAAGAGAGUGGGGGCCAAUAUUCAACAUUCUUAAAGAAAAGAAUUUUCAACCCAGAAUUUCAUAUCCAGCCAAACCAAGUUUCAUAACUGAAGGAGAAAUAAAAUCCUUUACAGACAAGCAAAUGCUUAGAGAUUUUGUCACCACCAGGCCUGCCCUACAAGAGUCCCUGAAGGAAGCACUAAACAUGGAAAGGAACAACCGGUACCAGCCAUUGCAAAAACAUGCCAAAAUGUAAAGACCAUCGAUGCUAGGAAGAAACUGCAUCAACUAAUGAGCAAAAUAACCAGCUAAUACCACAAUGACAGGAUCAAGUUCACACAUAACAAUAUUAACCUUAAAUGUAAAUGGACUAAAUGGUCCAAUUAAAAGACACAGACUGACAAAUUGGAUAAAGAGUCAAGACCCAUCAGUUUGCUGUGUUCAGGAGACCCAUCUCACAUGCACAGACACACAUAGGCUCAAAAUAAAGGGAUGGAGGAAGAUCUACCAAGCAAAUGGAGAAUAAAAAAAAGCAGGGAUUGCAAUCCUAGUCUCUGAAAAAACAGACUUUAAACCAUCAAAGAUCAAAAGAG